UACGUAGGUGGCAAGCGUUGUCCGGAAUUAUUGGGCGUAAAGCGCACGUAGGUGGUUUGUUAAGCCAGCUGUGAAAUCCCCGGGCUCAACCUGGGCACUGCAGUUGGAACUGGCAAGCUAGAGUAGGGUAGAGGGGUGUGGAAUUCCUGGUGUAGCGGUGAAAUGCGCAGAUAUCAGGAGGAACACCAAUUGCGAAGGCAGCUCGCUGGGACGUUACUGACGCUGAGACGCGAAAGCGUGGGGAGCAAACAGG
rnacentral:rRNA from 1 species